rnacentral:misc_RNA from 1 species
UCAACAACUAUUUUGUGGAAAAAAGGAGGUAUGCAUUAUAGCUCAUUUCAUAUCAUAUAUAAUCAAAAGAAUGCACCCAACUUACAUAUAUAAUGAAAGUUACUCCACUUGUGAUAUGGAGAUCACAUAUUCGAGUCAUGGAAACAUCUCAGAAGAGCAGAGUUUAAAGUUGCAUGCAUUAACCCUCCCUAAAAGCCCACAAGUGUGAAGUACUUUCUGGGCUAAUUAAGU